rnacentral:rRNA from 1 species
AGCAGUAGCCACGGUAAUACGUAGGUGGCAAGCGUUGCUCGGAAUUACUGGGCGUAAAGGGAGCGUAGGCGGACAUUUAAGUCAGGGGUGAAAUCCCAGAGCUCAACUCCGGAACUGCCUUUGAUACUGGGUGUCUUGAGUGUGAUAGAGGUAUGUGGAACUCCGAGUGUAGAGGUGAAAUUCGUAGAUAUUCGGAAGAACACCAGUGGCGAAGGCGACAUACUGGAUCAUUACUGACGCUGAGGCUCGAAAGCGUGGGGAGCAAACAGGAUUAGAUACCCGAGUAGUCCCUGUCUCUUAUAC